GGAGCUGUGCCUCGGUGAUGCCAGGAUAUGCUGUGAAGUUUAAGAGGGAGUCAUGGCCAUGCUGCAGGAUUCAUGGAGCAUAUUACCAGAAAGAACUCUACGUAGAAUGUGGUCUACUGGAGAUGGUUACUUUCCUUCCUUCCUGGCCUGGCCACUUCCUGCUGCCCUCCUCUUGUAUUUUGAAAAGGAAAAACUUGAAAAAUAAUGAAUUUUCCCUUUAAAUUGAGAUAAAAAACCCAAAUGAUACUCAAG
rnacentral:lncRNA from 12 species